rnacentral:rRNA from 1 species
ACGCUGUAAACGAUGAAUACUAGGUGUGGGAGGACUGACCCCUUCCGUGCCGCAGUUAACACAAUAAGUAUUCCACCUGGGGAGUACGACCGCAAGGUUGAAACUCAAAGGAAUUGACGGGGGCCCGCACAAGCAGUGGAUUAUGUGGUUUAAUUCGACGCAACGCGAAGAACCUUACCAGGACUUGACAUCCAACUAACGAAGUAGAGAUACAUUAGGUGCCCUUCGGGGAAAGUUGAGACAGGUGGUGCAUGGUUGUCGUCAGCUCGUGUCGUGAGAUGUUGGGUUAAGUCCCGCAACGAGCGCAACCCCUAUUGUUAGUUGCUACGAAAGAGCACUCUAGCGAGACUGCCGUUGACAAAACGGAGGAAGGCGGGGACGACGUCAAAUCAUCAUGCCCCUUAUGUCCUGGGCUACACACGUAAUACAAUGGUGGUAAACAGAGGGAAGCAAAGCCGCGAGGCGGAGCAAACCCCUAAAAGCCAUCUCAGUUCGGAUUGCAGGCUGCAACUCGCCUGCAUGAAGCUGGAAUUGCUAGUAAUCGCGGAUCGGCAUGCCGCGGUGAAUACGUUCCCGGGCCUUGUACACACCGCCCGUCACACCAUGAGAGUCGGGAACACCCGAAGUCCGUAGUCUAACCGCAAGGAGGACGCGGCCGAAGGUGGGUCCGGUAAUUGGGGUG